GACCUGAACUCAGACGUGGGC
rnacentral:rRNA from 2 species